CUAUCUGCUCAGUUGAUUUUGUAAUCUAAUUCUUUGCUAAACUUGCAGGAUUUGAUUCUUCUAUUGCUAACAUCUGGAAGAGAUCCUGGCAUCAUUCCUCGAAAUGCACAUCCACCUGAACCGGAAGGCUAUGAUGGGAGUGUAGAAGGAGCUCAAACACCACAGUUACGCUUGCCCCGCAUUAAGGAAGUUGAGGUGAGGCAUACGAGACUUGAUAAGUCAGUGAGUAUGGCCUAUUUCCUCCGUCAUAAGUUCCUUCUUGUUGUAGUCCUGAUAGAGAGUCAGGGCUCGACUGAAGGAUGAAUCCUGCAGAUUAUAAGCGAUUUGUGGGUAGAACUCAGUUAUAAUCUUUUGGCAUAGAGAUUGACCGNAGCUUACUCGUGUAAGCGUUGCGAGCGAAGCUUACACGAGGGCUACACGUUCUAUCGUGUAGCCCAUUUCUUUGAUAGUGUAAGGCGCGUGUGAUGCACGCGCCAAUUUAAAAAAAAAUCGAAUUGACCGUUGCUGCCUCGAUUUGCGUGAAUUGACCGUUCAUUUUUUUUUCUCUUCUUUUUCUUCUAUUUAUUCUUCUUCUUCCCCAUUUUUUCCCUACACCUUCUUCAUCCUCACUUCUUCUUUUCUUCCUCUCUCUACACACUCCAUGGAUCCACACAAUCCAAAUUACUAUGACCUAAAUUGGUGCCCCGAUCUAUCCGACGAAUAUCAUCCCGAUUUAUCGGGGUGUAACUUGGGGGAUGCUCCACAGUCCGGCAUUGGAGCGGUCCGACCAGAACUUGAAAAAAAUCACCGCCGAGUAUGCCAAAAAGAACGAGCUCAAGGAGAGGGAGCUCGAUAUGCAACUCCUCAGUCUGGAUACGACGCAUAUGAGCGAUGCACAAAGGAUGGCCCACGAGCACAUGGUCCAAGAAAUGCUCAAGCGUCGUGGACUUAUCUAGACUAUGAUUUUAAUUUAUGUAAUUUAAAUUAUGUUUUUAAUUUUUUAAAUUUUAAGUUUUUUAUUUUAAUGAUCCACUAGCUAACGGAUCCAGCUGAGGAGAACAUCGUGGAGAGUAUUAAAUUCUGCUCAUGGAAAUGGUUGAAGGCGCACUACCCAUCUUCCUUUUAUGCCUCUCUGCAUGAGUGGAGUUCACAUCCUAUUCUUUGUAUGCCGACUAAUCGUUAGUCUCCUCUUUCUUUUGCUCUCAGUUUUGCUGUUUUCAAUUUUAUGGAGAUGUCUUUUUGAGUACUUCUGGUACUCUUCCGUUGGAAUGAGAAUUUCUUUUACUUUUCAAAAAAAAAAAGAAGAAAAUUAUUGACAAGAAAUAGUAACCUAAAAAAUUGAAGCAAACUCCAUUAGUGAUGGAGUGCAGUAAAAGCGUGAAAAAUCCCGACAAAUGGAAGCGAUUUAUAUUUCCCGUCUCUUGAAAAAAAAAAAGAAAAAAAGGAGGAAGUGGCAAAACGGUCCACAACCAACUCCUCCUGGGCCCACACCAGUUCACUAGCCCAAUCAGCAGUGCCCACGUCACUUUGACCCUUCUGUAAAGCGAGAACCCUCCCACUCGAAUACUCACCUGUCCUCACACACAAAAGCACACAACACACACACACACACCGAGUGAGAGAGAGAGCAAUCCCUUGUUUCCCCAAACACGCCCCCUGCUCCGCCGCAUGGCCUGUCGGCCGGAAUGUUUAGCUCGAUCACUUUGAUAGGCUGUUCUGCUGCGGAGUUCGAAUUAGCCCGCGUUCUCCACGCUUGCUGAUUUCGUGUGUGUGUGUGUGUGUUUGUUUGAGUAGGGUUUGUGGUGGAAAAAAAAAAUUGAGCUUGGAGUUGGGGGGAGAUUUGGGGAAACAAAAUGUACGUGGUUCCUCCUCCGAAUCGGGCCGAUCCGUUAGCUGGAUCCACUAAUGGCUCCGACGAGCUCAUGGUUUAUCAGACUUGGAAAGGCAGUAAUGUGGGUUUCUCUCUCUCUCUCUUGCUCAGCUCGAUUGAAGUUUUUUUAGGUUAAUAUCUUCGUUCGUUAUUAAUAAAUUUCGCGAAAUUGAUAUUAGGUUCAGUCAAUUUGAGCAAUUGGUGCUUGAGCUUUGCUGAUUGUAGUUUUUUUAAGAGAGAAAAGAACAUUUCGGGUUAAGGCUAAGUGUUUGUUUGUACUUGGUGCGAAAGAGAUGAAUGAAGAAAACAUGUAGUCAAAGUGCCAAUGUUUCUUGUGAAGAUGUCAAAAACUAGAGAACUUUUAUGGAGAAUUUGAUAAAUCUGAAAUUUGAUUCUGUACUUGACUCGUUCGAUAGAUGAUACUGGUAUUUACUAGUUCUGACACCUUUUUAUGGACAAAUUAUAUAUACAAGUUUUGAUUAUCUUAUUUCAUGGAAAAUUAUUACUCCAUAGAACACUUACUAUCACUGUUUAAAAUGAUUAAAUCAUGAAAAUGUGAGAUGAGGAUUCUGUUUGACCCCCGGUAUGCCAUUUAGAUAUUUAGUUUUGGCUACAAAAGAUACUUUUUAUUGACUUUUUACUGCUGCCUGCUGUGUACGAAUGAGAAUCAUGAUGCGCUAAACACCAGCAGACAUAUGGUUGUUAUGUACAUUGCGUGAGUCGUCACUUGUUCAUUUUGUGACUGUUAGAUCACUGUUCUUCUUGCAGAAAUUUUUUCUCCAAGGAAGGUUUGUUUUUGGACCAGAUGUAAGGUCGCUGGCUCUAACUAUAUUCCUGAUUGUGGCUCCUGUAGCUGUUUUCUGCAUCUUUGUUGCUCGAAAACUGAUGGAUGAUUUUGUUGAUGACUGGGGAGUAUCAAUUAUGGUUAUUGCCAUCGUGUUCACAUUUUAUGUACGUUAGUUCUCUCACCUCUCCCUGUAGCAAACCUUGUUUAGCCAAGAGUUGGUGUCUAUAUUGUGCUAAUAAUUUUUCUGGAAAUUGAACUACAGAGGAUUGAAAUUUGUCGCUAAAUAAACUCUUUGGUAAUCCACUUGCUUAACUUUAAUCUGUUGGAUUUGUACUUGUUCUUGCUUAAUGGAACAUAAAACCUUUGAAUUCAAGGCAGUGUGCCUAAGAGACAGUGAUUUUGCAAAUAAUUCGAUGCAGGUUUUCUCAUUUCCUGUAUAUGGCUAUAUAGAUGUAGGUAAAGGUUUGUAAAAGCAUUUAUAGCACAAGGUACAUGUAGUCCUGUUUGAGGCAAGAAUGCACAUUGAUAUCUGCUCAGUUGAUUUUGUAAUCUAAUUCUUUGCUAAACUUGUAGGAUUUGAUUCUUCUAUUGCUAACAUCUGGAAGAGAUCCUGGCAUCAUUCCUCGAAAUGCACAUCCACCUGAACCGGAAGGCUAUGAUGGGAGUGUAGAAGGAGCUCAAACACCACAGUUACGCUUGCCCCGCAUUAAGGAAGUUGAGGUUAAUGGUGCUACAGUGAAGAUCAAGUAUUGUGACACCUGCAUGCUUUAUCGACCUCCGCGUUGCUCCCACUGUUCCAUUUGCAAUAACUGUGUCGAACGAUUUGACCAUCACUGCCCUUGGGU
rnacentral:lncRNA from 1 species